rnacentral:sRNA from 1 species
GUCUACUUUAUACCGGAUCUAAAA